rnacentral:rRNA from 1 species
CCUGCGGCGGAUUAGCUAGUUGGUGGGGUAACGGCCUACCAAGGCGAUGAUCCGUAGGGGGCGUGAGAGCGUGGCCCCCCACACUGGCACUGAGAUACGGGCCAGACUCCUACGGGAGGCAGCAGUGAGGAAUAUUGCACAAUGGGCGCAAGCCUGAUGCAGCAACGCCGCGUGCGGGACGAAGGCCUUCGGGUCGUAAACCUCUUUUCUGGGGGACGAGUAAGGACGGUACCUCAGGAAUAAGUCUCGGCUAACUACGUGCCAGCAGCCGCGGUAAAACGUAGGAGGCGAGCGUUAUCCGGAUUUACUGGGCGUAAAGCGCGCGCAGGUGGCUUCGUGAGUCGGACAUGAAAGCUCCUGGCUUAACUGGGAGAGGCUGUUCGAUACUGCGGGGCUUGAGGUUGGGAGAGGGACGCGGAAUUCCCGGUGUAGUGGUGGAAUGCGUAGAUAUCGGGAGGAACACCAGUGGCGCAAGCGGCGUCCUGGCCCACACCUGACGCUGAGGUGCGAAAGCGUGGGUAGCAAACAGGAUUAGAUACCCCGGUAGUCCACGCUGUAAACGAUGUCAACUGGGUGUCGGUAGUUUUACACUAUCGGUGCCGAAGCUAACGCG